UUUACGCGUUGUUUUGUCGUUUUGCAUAAUUACGGAUAAUUAGUAGAUUUUUUUCUAACAUACAUCCUCAUCCGAUAUAUCGGUCGAUAACGGAAUGCGCGAUUUUUUGCGCACUUUUUUGUCUUCUAUUUUCUAGCUUUAUUUUCAUAAUAUUGAAACUUUUCUCGCUUUUACACUAUCUGAUUAAUAAUUUUGUGUUUAUAAUUGUGAUCGAUCGAUGUUGUAUUAAAUUCAAUAUUCGUAUAUACUUAUAUAUAUUAUAUGCAAUAUAAAUUCGCGAUGUAGAGUCAGUGUUGGUACAUAUUCUUCAUGAUCCUGGGACUGAAAGGUCAUCGUGCAAAAGAUCUACAAAGACUGGUUCAAUAAAAGAAGAAUCAUUCGUUAUUGUUCUGAGGCAGAAUGCUCAUCGUACAAAGGAUCAGCAAAGACUACAAUAAUCAAUGCAAUCAUGCGGGUGAUAGUGAAUCGAGUGAUGUUCUGUUUAAAUAAUAUAAUAAUCAUGAAUUAGAAGGAUCCUUCGUUCGUUAAUUUAAUUUCGUUCAUGUUUCGCGAUUUAAGAUUUGGUAUCAUAUGCAGUUAAAUCGACUGCGAGCAAAGCAGUCAGUCAGAGUUAUGAUUUGUUCCUGUAAAGUUUAAAAUUAUUUUUCUUUUUAUACUGUCACACUAUUCGCAUAGUAGUGUCAGUGCAUCAAUGAAGAUAAUCGAAUGAUAAAUACAUUUUCUUUUAUAAAAGAAUAUUGGUUAUCUCCCUUUCUUCUAUCUUUGAUACGGCAACGGAUAUGUCGCGGAUGCACUAGCAAGUAACUUGCAACAUUUCUUGCAAGAGAAACUUUUGUGACAUGUGUAACAAAAUAUGCGUAAACAUGUGUAAACAUAUCUUAAAUAAUAACUGUUAUUUCUAACUUCCAACGAUGUCCCAAAUAUUUUAUGAGAACUCGUGCGCUAAAGAUAAUGGAAAAGAAGUGUUGAGCGAAGAAAGGAUACUUAGAUUGAUUUCGUAAUGGAUAAAUUUUUCCAAAUUUUGGGAUAUAAAAAGCAAAAAAGACUCAGAUGAAAGAACUCCAACAAUUUGGAUGUACUGUUCCUUUCGGGGAAUGAAUGAAGGAGUCAAAUAUAUAUGAUGAAAAGGCAUAUGAUUUGCAAAUUAUUAAGGCGGCCCUGGUCUAUUGUACGAAAUGUUCACAAGAUGGUGCUAUAUAUGUGGGACUUGUUACGCCUCUUCCGGCAAAACACAUAACUAACAUGUCUCGGCGCCACCAAACGCACACACGGGAAACCAAUAAAUAAAGAUGACGAAAAAGACGCUGCAAAUACAAAGAAAAUCAUUGUUCUUUUUUCGACUUUUCUAGAAACCACAGUCAUAACUGAUAAAAGUCAUAGUCUAAUUAUACCUUCUACACACCGAACAAAGCUAAAUAAACAUCACAAUUGUUACUUGAUGUGCAAAGUUUUCUCUACCUAGUGGAUUGUCAACGAUAAACUCACAGACAUCGUCUACUGGUAUUAUUAUCAAGACCAUUUAAGAUUGCGCGUGCUGACAUAAAUUGCCAAGAAGUUCGUCGUUUUCCUGAUUACAAUGGGAUGUCAACGAUAAUUUGACUAGAAUUGAUGACCCCGACGUGAUCUUUAUGCAUUAAGAGUACCUACAAAAGGAAAAACGUAUCGGGCUCAGCCAUCCUGCCACAUUAUAAAAUUCGAGCCUCAUGUUCAGAAUACUUGAAAAAAAAUCACAAACAUCGAACACUAUACGUGAUACAACAGAAUUCAGCGCGAAUCUGAAUCCAAUCUCCAUGAAUCAACAACAACGGCAAGUUAAACUCAAAAGAUACAGACGACAAAGGAACCCAUCCUGAACAAAGGAAUCAAAAUAACAACGGACAAAUGAUGCCACGGAACAGUGCGACAGCUUCACCCAUCGCAACAGCGACAUUAAUAGGAACAAUAACAGGAAAUAUUUCUGGUAUGUAGAACCUGUACAAUUAUAAUCAAUCACCAGGCUAUAACAAUAUAUUGCGUGACAAAUAUUAUUCGAUGAAUAAACUUAAAUUGCCGAUGUUCACCAAAAUUCGACCGGAUCUCUGGUUCAUCAUGACUGAGGCUGAAUUCACUACUUUUGUAUUCGUUGAUGAUAAAGUAAAAUAUCUGACGGACCUUGAGGCUCUGAUUUCAGACGUGGUAUAAUAGGAGCUCGCUACAGACAAAAACAAAGAAACUUUUACGUGAGUCAACGCUUCCAAAUAGAACACCUUCUCAGUUCCUGUGACAAAUGCACGAAUUGGCUGAUGAUUUCGCUGAUGAUACCAUAUCGCAACAACUUUGGCUUGAACGAAUUCCAGCAUAUAUCAAACUAUCUGAUUACUACAAGUAAACUUCCACUUGAUGCUAUAGCCGAGUUUGCGGAUCGUUUUUACGAACUGAUGCCUUACGAUCAACAGAAUAACCAGGUUAUGUAUGGCAACCUUUACACGCAAUCUUACAUCACCGACUCUUUAAGACAUUGACUCAAAGCUCAUAGAAAUUCAUAAAUCUUUUGUGAUGAAGAACGAUGAGUUCAUAUCACAACUCAUUCUACUGCAACAACAAAACCAACAAAUGCAGGCUCGACAAUCUCCGAUGCAUCAUAAUCGCAUCAGUUCAAGAUCGUCGACACCUUCUCGCAAUAGAAUCUCCUAUUAUCACCAAAGUUUUGGCAGCGAAGCAAAACGCUGCCUUUUACAUUGUAAAUUCGCUUCAAUGACAACCUGACAAACAACAAAUCAGGGAAUCUAACAUCGCUGUCUUCAGUAAGAGCAGUGAAAGACAGCAACUCCAGGCCAAAAGAGCUCCGACUACACUUCCAAACAGAAAUUCUUGAUUGACUCUGGGUCGGUCGUGUCCAUAACAUUCGCUAAAAAGUUUCAUAAAAAUAGAAAUACAGACUCACAAUUUAUGCUGCAAAUUCGUCACAUAUAUACGGCACUAAAAUUAUCAUCCUUGAUUUAAAUAUCUGCAGAGAUUUUUGCUGGUCUUUGAUCAUCGCACACGUGGAAAUAGCAAUCAUCAGAACUGAUUGCUUAAUUCACUAAAACUUUUUGAUUGAUUUAAAAUACCAACAAUUGAUAGAUCUAGUGUCUCAUCUCUUGUCAAAAGGUAAUGCAAUGGAAGCACAGCAUUACGGCAUCUCAUCUAUAAGUUCAGAUUUGCCUACUGAGUAUGCUGAACUUUUAAAACAAUUCGUUGAGAUCACUUGGUCGAUUAGCAAGCCAUGCUUAAAUUUAAAAAUACGUCCAUUUGCGCACGAAAUUAUUACGCAUGGUCCACUUGUCACUGCCCCUAGCACGUAAACUAGCGGGUGAAAAGGCAGCGGCGGCAGAAACUCAAAUCAGAGAACUUCUGAACUCCGGAAUCAUUAGAUCCUCCAGCGGAAUGUACGCCAAUUCUAUUCAUAUGAUACGAAAGAAAGACAACAGCUGGAGAACGUGAGAAAGCAAAAUUGACUGCGAAAAAGCAUAUCUACAACUAUUUGUGCACGUGGACAACAUUGAAAAACUGCCAUCAUAACACCUUGGGUUGAGUACACUUAGAGACCUGGACUUCGUCUUCGUCUACGUGGAUGGCAUUUUGGUAUUCUCGGACAAUGGAGACAAAUAUCUGGAACAAACACAUUGAACGCUUAAAAGACAACAACCUUAUUAUCAAUCUCAAAAACUGCCUGUUCAACCAAACGGAAAUAAACUUCCUGGAUUACAUCAUUAAUGAACAUGGUUACAUUUCAACGUGCGAACGAGUUGAUGCCAUUAAAACAUAUCAGAAACCUAAAACUAUAGUUGAACUUCGCAGAUUUCUCGGCAUGAUCAACUAUCCUUGCUGUAUACUUCAGGCAGUUCAGAUCAUGUUGCCUCACAUUUGGCUUGAUCCUUAAGGAUGCACUCAAAUGGUCUAGAGAAUAUCUUGCUUGCCAAAGAGGAAAAAUUCACCGUCACAAUAAGAUCAAGCUAAUCCACAUAGACAUACUUGAUAACCGCAUUAAUCAUAUUCACUUGGACAUCAUCUUUCUACUGAAGGUAUACACUACUGAUACUGCUUAACAUUUUCGCGACGGCGCACCUGUACCGUACUUUGUUGUCUUCCGCGAAAGCGCAGUAACAUUUUCUCAGUAAUACUUUGUAGCGAUCUCUACUCAUUAUUCUGCAAAGAUGUUGCUUCGCAAUAAUUUAUUUUUGCUCCAAUAUUCACCAAUCGAUAAUUUCUUCUCUUUAGACAUUAGUAAGCAAACAGCGAUAAAACCGUACGGUUCGUUUGUUUUUGUCCCAUGUUCAGGAUUACUAUUAUCUCUUCGUCUCCAAUGAUUAGUUGUUUUUUUAACAAUGAAAUCUAUCAAUUCCUCAUAUACGAAUAAUUUGAAAAAUCGAAAAAAUUUUCCAAGAAUCAGAUAUGUCUGUUUGAAUUCCCGAUUGUUGUCUUGUAAAAUCAUGAAUGGUGAGCCCACAAUUUUGAGAGGUCCAUCUGAUAUCAUUCAGAUUGAUGCUUUGUUAAUUAACACAUUGUUGACUGGCAUUUUUAAUGAAAAUUUAUCUCAUGUUACCGGCUGUUAUUUCGUAACUAUAUGUGGAAGUAAUACAAUAAAAAUAAACAUUAAUGAAUUUUAUUUAGUAUUUAGCUUUUAAUAGUUCUUUUUCGUGUGAUAAGUAAUAUAACAAUCACCUACGUGUAAUGGUACACCACAGCUUUUACAAAUGUAUCUAUUUUCGCUUUGUUUUCCCCUUGAAGAGCAUACCCUACACACUCUAGUCGGAUUUUCUCUUCUUGAAGUGAUUAUUUUUUCUAAAACGUGGUCUCUUGUCCAGAAAGCCUGAAGGGUGUGUCAUUAUAAGGAGCUGUUUUGAAAGUUUGAGAAGUGUCAGGUUCAAUGCUACAGUCUUUGAAAUCCUCACUUAUCCAUUCUCUAGCUACUUCCAGUAGAAAUUUUUUAUAUCUCGUUUUAUUUUCUGGCAGAUAUCUACAGUACAGUUUAUAAGCAUUGAACAAAGUGCAGUUUAUCAGAAACAAUGCUAAUUUUUUGUAUCACUUUACAGUUUUUCGUAAAAUACUGCUAUAUUUGCUAAGUAUUUAUCUGCACGAUCUACUCCUGUCAUAUGUUUAUUGUACUGCAAUAUGCACGUAGGUUUGAUUGUAUAUUUGAUUGUCUAUAUAAUUUUUUUUUCGAUUUCUACUUGAUUUCAUGGAAGCAUUAUGAAUACUUGAUAUCAUGCGUACUAUUCUUUUAUCCUUCCAAGCAAUAAGAAUAACAGGUCCCUUUCGUAAAAAAGUCAUUUCUCCUCUGUAUAGACUUUUGGAUCUUUUUAUCAGGAUUUUUGGUAAGCCACGGUUUUCCCGUAUGGUUCCACACACUACUAUUUUUUUCUGAGUAAUAGCUUGGCUGUAGAUACGCUGUUCUAAUAAUUGUCUAGGUACAUAUGAUGCCACUGACCAAGAUACGGCUCCAACACAGAAAAUAUGGUUUCUUGCAGCCUUUUGCCUUGUCCCGAAUAGACCUCGAAGUUGCAUAUAUACCCACUCUCACUUUCACAAAGCAUUCUGAUCAAAAUUCCAUAUUUCGUUAUCUUCGCUGGAUUGUACGUCCUAAAGCUGAUGCGUCUUCUGUAUGGUAUCAUUGCUUCGUUUAGAGCCAACUCCUGCUUGGGUGUAUAUAGGGACUGAAAUUUUGGAAUAAUAUAAUUCAAAAGCGGUCUAACUUUGCAAAGCCUGUCUUUGGUAGAUGUAUGUUGUGUAUUAUCAUUUAGAUGAAAAAAUGUAAGAAUUUGUUCAAAUCGCAUUCUGGACAUAGUUGCUCGAAAUAUUGAUGCUUCAACUAAAGGAUCCGUUGACCAAUGAUCUCUUCAAUGAGAUUUUCUGGUUUGGCCCAUCAAUAUUAGUAAUCCAAGAAACUUUUUUAUUUCAUUAAUGAUAACCUCCGUCCAUGGUACCGUUUUUGCAGAGGUUUGAUGUAAUCCUUUCAUUUGAGAAUGGUACAAAUUGGUUUGCGUAACAACUAAAUCAAAAAAACCACUAUCAAAAAAUAAAGCCAUUACUCAUUGAUAGUCGGCGCGUCACCAAGUUCAAUAGUUGCACCAGGAAUAUUUAAAUAAUUCUGUAGUUUUGAUGUAAUGUCAUGUUCGUUCCACUCUUCCUCCAAUUCUUCGUCAUCAAUCAUCAGAUUCUAUUAUAUUUCUUCUUUGAUAUUUUGGUGGUCUAAUAUUGGAGUCACUAUCUUCCGAUACAGUAUCAUUUUCAAGUUUACCACAAUUUGAUUCACAAUUACUCGGACAAUCAGAUAAAUCAUCCGCGAUUAAUUCAUUGAAAGAAUCUUCAUUACGUUCCGUCAUCGUUUUUUUUAAAUAUUUUUAAUUAUUAAAUUUUUUUACUACAAAAGAUUUGGUGGGACUUACAAGUGAGAGAAAUAGCUCGUGUAUUACUGACCAACAAUUUCACUGUAUGGUUGGCAACAGAGGAAACAAUGGCGAUGUGAAAAAAAAAUGCAUCACGAGUUUACUCGUUGUCGGUCAACAACGUUCGGCCAUAAAAACACGAGUUAACUCGAGACUGGUCAACAAUGUGUUAACAUCUUCAAUUUCAUCAGAUUUCGAUGUACUAAGUAAAUUUAAUCACCUUAUUUUACGAAAUGGUGUAUUUAUAUAAGAUUCGUUUUCAUCAUAACUAUCCGAAUCAGUCCCGUUCACCUGUUUCCGUUGUUUCCUACUGUUAUAUUCCGUUUUAAAAAGGGUAAAAUAUUUAUUAACAUUAAGAACAAAAAAGUGAAAUUGGAGGUUUUACCGAUGUAAUUAGUGAUUAGGCCCACUCUAUUUUUUGUAGUUUAUUAUAAGUUAGUUGAAUCUGAUAUACCAUAAAUUUACAGAAAAUAAAUCCAUUCUUUUUGUAUCUUCAGAAUUUUUCGAAUUUUUAGCAAAAUAAUUUUCUGUUACUUUUAUUCUCAUUAAGAAUACUCUUAAUGAGAAAAAUUCUUUAAUUCUCUGACAAUAAAAUCUGUGCUGUAUAUUGUUGGCGAUAGCCUCUGUAAACCAAUAAACAGACUGCCGUAUUUAGACGGCGUCAGCCGCUAUUAACUAAUAAAUGACUGCUGUGCGGCGUCAGCCUACGUGGGACAAAAAAUGACUGUCGUAUUUAGACGGCAUCGACUGCUGUGGUGCAUCAAGUGACUGCCGUAUGUUGACGGCACUUGUUGCGAAAGAGUUAACCAUCAUUGAUCGUUUCACCCGUAGCUAUACCUCUGAAGGACAUGACAACAGAUACCAUCAUUAC